UUCUGAUCUUAAGUACUUAUAUACAACUUUUAUGACCAUUCAAUAAUUUCUAGUUGGAUGCACCAAUAUGUGCUUGAAGAUUUGUUCAUACUUUUUCUCCAACGUGACUGCGUAUUUAGCACUUACCUUUCCCCUCAAAAAGGAAAAUCACUGAGGAAAAAGACUGUCGUGGCAGAAUGAUGAAAACUUUUGUGCUCUGUGACCUUUGGUCAAGUUUACGACACUUUUUUCUUGGGGUGAUUGAAUUAAAGGACAGGAAUAAAUGGAGAUUAGUUAUAUUCUGCCACAAAGGAUGAUAGAACCUCAAAUAAAUUAUGUUGAUGAGUUCCAGCCAACCAAUGGGAGGCAAUGUUCCAAAACAAAGAAAGACCUCAAUGUGCCUUUUCCAAAUCAAAAUCAAAGUUCCAGGAAUCCGAGAAAAAUUGGAUCCCACAGAGAUGGAAUAAUAUUUGGUGGCGCAAUGCCUUACAUAUAGUUUUUCAGCUUUGAACAUUAGCUGUUACAGACUCUUUUCCAUAUGCAGCGAGGAGCAACAAAAUUAGAAGCUCCAACUUGCUGUUGCUUCCUCCACCAAAUGGUCUGAUAAGUUCGGAUAGGUCAUGGCCCCGUGAAGUUGAUUGGAACAUGAAAAAUAUUGCACCUUGAUAUUUCAAGUUUGCAACUUGCAUGCUUAAUGAGGCUUCCAUGCAUGUAAGUAGUCCUUGUUAACUUUGUGCUGCCAAAAUGUGGACGGUAGUGUGUUAUUUUCUAAUUUUGGUACGACCGUACAAGUGGAUCUACACGGAAGUGUUGCACUUCAUAUUUCUACUUUGCAACUUGCAUGCUUUAGUUUGCAACUUGCAUACUUAAAUGAGGCUUCCAUGAUAUAUUUAGCAUUCACUAACUUCUUACAGCCAAAAUGUGGACCAUGGGGUGUUACUACUAAUUCUAAUACCAGUGGACCGCCUAGUGUGGCGAGCAGAUGUUUCACUAAAUAACUGAUUAUCAUGCUCUCUGCGCCAACUCAUGCAAGGAAGCUGGAAGUGAGGGCACCUAUCAUCAGCGUGCGGCCUUCAUGCACCGGAAGGAGUGUUCUGCAGGCGCCUGCUACUCAGGCCGAUUCUACCACUCCAGGUCAUAGCCCCAGCAUUGGCCACAACAGUCCUCCGAAUUGAAAUGAUCUGCUGCUUGCUACAUGCUGUCAUCUGUAUCUCAAAUUUGUACCCCGAGUAUUUGAAGCUUAUGUGGUGUUUCUAGAGGAUUCUAUGUGUUUGUUGAAAUUUGAAUGGCUUAAGACAGGUGAUGGAGGUUAAUUAGCAGAGUUUUUGUUUCCUUCCGUUUAGAUUUAUCACCAGUGAAAUUUGAUGCAUGCUGUCAUGCUUCAUUUUGCCACCCUUGUGCACUAAACAUUGUCUCCGAGGAGCUGUACGGAUCUGUAGGCUGUAGCCGUGUCUCUUUUGAAAGGUUUACUCGAUGCUGUAAACUUGAGGAUGUGUACUGUAACCUGACCAUGUUUAAAGUUUUCUUGCCA